rnacentral:tRNA from 1 species
GGUUGUGGCUCAGUGGUAGAGUGCUUGCCUAGCAUGCGUGAGGCAUUGGGUUAGAUUCCCCACACCA